rnacentral:rRNA from 1 species
UGCGUAGGUGGCGCCAUAAGUCAGGUGUGAAAUCUCGGGGCUUAACUCCGAAACUGCAUUUGAUACUGUGGUGCUUGAGGACUGGAGAGGAGACUGGAAUUUACGGUGUAGCAGUGAAAUGCGUAGAGAUCGUAAGGAAGACCAGUGGCGAAGGCGGGUCUCUGGACAGUUCCUGACACUGAGGCACGAAGGGCCAGGGGAGGCAAACG